UGACCCGUCUUGAAACACGGACCAAGGAGUCUAGCGUGUGCGCGAGUCAUUGGGAAACACUAAACCUAAAGGCGAAAUGAAAGUAAACGUUCGCUUCUUGCGAACUGAGGGAAGAUGAUUGAUCAACUAGAUCGAUCCGCAUUCCCGGGGCGUCUCGUUCUCAUUGCGAGAUGAGGCGCACCAAGAGCGUACACGCUGGGACCCGAAAGAUGGUGAACUAUGCCUGGUCAGGACGAAGUCAGGGGAAACCCUGAUGGAGGUCCGUAGCGAUUCUGACGUGCAAAUCGAUCGUCGGAACUGGGUAU
rnacentral:rRNA from 1 species